rnacentral:rRNA from 1 species
AUGAGUAUCAUCUGCUGGAACUGUCGAGGUUUGGGGUCGGACUCGAUAGUUGGCGAGCUUCGCUGGCUAGUGAAGCUUUACCGACCCUCCCUCCUCUUUCUUUCUGAAACGAAGAUGAGGGAGUCUCGUGUGAGGAACUUUAUGUGGUCCCUGGGUUUUUCUGGCUGCUACACAGUGAGUAGUGAGGGGCUCAGUGGUGGCCUGGCUUUGUUCUGGACAUAA